rnacentral:lncRNA from 1 species
UUCUAAUUUUUUUCUUUUAUUAUUUUGUUUGAAUAAUAUAAUUUAAUUUGCAUUGAAAUUAUUUAUCAGUUAAGAAAUUCACACUUAAUCAAGUUCUUUUGAAGCAUUAUAAAUAUUUAUUCAUCUGGGUUGCUGUUAAAACGAAAGAAAAAAAAACCAUUUACCUUUUCUACAAGGUACUUCAUAAAUGUACAAUAAUUUACAAGACAGUGCAACAAUGCGUUACAAUAACUAAACGUGCUCGUGAAAUACAACGCUACUAAGAAGCGAGAAAAGCGCGGGAAUAUAUCCGCCACAACAAGAAGUCAUCGUCCGCACAAGUGAGUGCGACAAUAAUAAGCAUAAAGUAGUUGUUAAUUUUAAACCUCAUUUUUUAUUGCAUUAUCAAUAAAA